CCUAAAGAUGAGACUUCCCAUUCGAAAGAAGUAAGGGCCCUCCGAAGUCAGGAGGUCGAUAGGGCGGAUCUGUAAGCGCAGCAAUGCGUUCAGGAGACCGCUACUAAUAGCCCGAGGACUUAAUUUC
rnacentral:rRNA from 1 species